rnacentral:lncRNA from 1 species
CUUCAAAGGAGAAGGUUCAUUUUAGAAGUCAAAAUACUCAAGCAUGGUUUUUGAAGAACAGUAAUUCCUGAGAGACCAUAAUUUUCAAAUCAAAAUUUGAAAGAAGAUUAAUCUCACUCAACAUGGAUCCCUUUGGUCUGGUCCCCAUCCUAACUUUGCUUCAUAUUGUGCUCCAAGUAUCCUCGUCUGCAGAGCCUCUAACUCAACCCACGCUUUCUGUGCAGCCUGAGUACCAGGAAUAUUAUGAAGGAGAGAAAAUCAGGUUGAUCUGCUCAACUUUUCAUAACCUGACCAUGCCGCGAAACUUGAUGGUGGAAGGUUACCGAUUCUUCCAAGAAGAUGGGCAGAGGAUCCAUCAAGUGGCCGUUAACGCUUACAGAGAUGGCAUGAUGGAUUUUCAGGCACAAAGGAAUGACACCGGAAAUUACAGAUGUGCUUAUUGGCUGAAAAAAGCAGGCAGGGAAGUUCAGUCGGACCAAAGCCACCCCAUCAGCAUCCAAGUGAAUGCGGCCCCACCAGCUCCAUCUCUGAAUUACAUUAUUUUUGACCGUGGAAACUCUGUCAGCCUAGAAUGCUUAUCUCCACCAGAAGCUAAUAAAAUCGGGCAGUUUCGCUUUGUUACAGAUGAAAUGGUUGUCUCAAUCCUGGCUACCGUCAACAGCACCUACACAUACAAUCUAACUAAUGUGAAACACAAGAACGUGGGGAUUGUCAGAUGUGCUUAUGUUCAAUACCUCCAUGGAAGAAAGGUACUUUCCAGGAUCAGCGAUCCAAUUUUCAUCGACAUGCGAG